rnacentral:rRNA from 1 species
AUCGAACGCUGGCGGCAUGCCUUACACAUGCAAGUCGAACGGCAGCACGGGAGCAAUCCUGGUGGCGAGUGGCGAACGGGUGAGUAAUGUAUCGGAACGUGCCCAGUCGUGGGGGAUAACGUAGCGAAAGCUACGCUAAUACCGCAUACGAUCUAUGGAUGAAAGCGGGGGACCGUAAGGCCUCGCGCGAUUGGAGCGGCCGAUAUCAGAUUAGGUAGUUGGUGGGGUAAAGGCCUACCAAACCGACGAUCUGAAGCUGGUCUGAGAGGACGACCAGCCACACUGGGACUGAGACACGGCCCAGACUCCUACGGGAGGCAGCAGUGGGGAAUCUUGGACAAUGGGCGCAAGCCUGAUCCAGCAAUGCCGCGUGCAGGAUGAAGGCCUUCGGGUUGUAAACUGCUUUUGUACGGAGCGAAAAGGCUCUCUCUAAUACAGGAGGCUCAUGACGGUACCGUAAGAAUAAGCACCGGCUAACUACGUGCCAGCAGCCGCCGUAA